UAAAAAACUCUAAAUAAAUGAGAGAAAAAAAAAAAAUAAAUAAAAUUCUCGUUAACCGAUCUCAAAAUUACGAACGCUUUGUAAAAAUGUGCCAUAUCGUCAAUUGUUAGCCAUCUCUUAAUCAUAAUUUAAUCUGUAAACAAAUUUUUAAAUAAACAAACUCGAUAUCGAGCGCGUUAGAAAAGCGAUAAUGAUUGAAUUAAUGAGUUGAAGAAACGGAAGAAGGAAGGAUGGAAGAUCGAUUCGAUCGAUCUUAUUAAAUGUCAUAUAUUAAUGCCGUGUAUCAGGUAUUCACGAACGUCUACGCCUUAAAGGUCGGUUUGUCGCGAGAAACUAAUUGCGGAGCGGCUGCGGUCAUGUAUCACAACGACGACAAGCGACGAGGAAAGCGGCACGAGUGAAUUACUGGGCGGAGGAUUGCUUUAUGACUUGUAACGACGCCCUCGUUUACUCGAUCGCAUCUGCUUCCCCAACUUUCGUUCCAGUUUUUCCGAGUUCGAGCUCCUUGACCUUGAUGGGGCUUCGGUUUCCGGGAUUAACGCUCGAAAUGCUUCCGCGUGCGAAGAAUGAAUGCAAAGAAGGGGAAAUCCCUCUUCUUUCCGACUCCAGAACGUUGUGACCUCUGGUGGUGGAAAGGCUGUACUACUGCUACUACUCCCACCACUAAUCUCGAGUACGAAGCGAGUGAAAUAUAAUUGCCAGGAUAAAUGUUUAUUGGAAACAAUUCGGGUAACGUUCGACGAGUUAGUCCCACAGUUACAUCUCUGGAAUUUUGUUCACGUGCCUCACAAUUGCACCGAAUAAUCUGUAUCGUUGCCUGAGAACUGCGAUGCACGCCAUCUGCAGGAUUAUCGGUGUCAAAACGUUAUCCUGAAUAUCGAACCCAGUCUCUCGAACGAGGCUGUGUCUUCUGAACGCGUUAGGGUAUUCAGGGAUGAAAUAUCAGGAGCGCAGGGAUGAAUAAUACAUGGGGAUUCGGUGGAGGAAAAAAUAACCUUCCUCGAUUCGUCUCGUGAUCCUCGUUGUCGAAACUUUUUAAACGAGUGAUCGGAAUAUUUAAAUAAUCAAAAAUUUAAUUAAAACGGAUUAGUAGUUCUGAUCGAGAUAAAUUAAUCAUUGAAAUUAAUAUGACUUUGAUUGUUAAUUAUUACAUUUUUGUAUAUAUAUACGAAACAAAUUAGUUUUUUAAAUAAUUUUGAUCGUCGAUUAAAAAUAUUAAACAUCGUUAAUUGUUGGAUCGUUGUCAUUAUUUGUACGAAGGACAUUAGUAAUUGAAACAAAUAUACAUUAAUGUAUAUUUCGAUGAAACUAGGUUUUAGAUCAUUGAUUAAAAAUAUUAAGCAUCGUUAAUUUGUUGGUUAAUUGUUGUCGUUAUAUGUAUAACACUCUACAUAUGUACACAUAAAGCAUUGAUACACGAGAUGGAAACAAAUCAAUUAUAUAAAAUGGAGAGUAACUUUGAUCAAA